GUACAACAGAGGCAGCCAAUGGCGUAGGACGAUCCGGUUGUGUCUGCACAGUGGCUGCAGCAGCACCUAGGCCAGCCCGACAUCAAGAUACUUGAUGCUUCCUGGUACAUGCCACACGAGAACAGGGACGCAUGGCAAGAAUACCAGGUUUCUUUAUGGGUCUUCUUUGCUAUAAACUCUUCACCCCUUUUGUGCCAAUGUUUCUCCCGGUUAAGAUGUUCAGAUAUGCUCAGGUGGAAAAUCAAGGAAGAGCAUAUCCAUGUUUACUUAUUAGUUUGAUCUGCCCUUGUUGUGUCAUCUCUGAUUCAGUUGCUAUUGAGUUUGUGUUGUUAUCUUAAAAGAAUAUUUUUCUCACUUAUGAUGACUAGAUAACUGCCUGCAUACUUUGGGGAGUAUGGAUGACUGUCAUUUU